rnacentral:tRNA from 1 species
GGGGUCCUAGUGUAGCUUGGUAUCACUCCAGCCCGGGGCGCUGGCAACCGGGGUUCGAAUCCUCGGGACCCCA